AAAUAAAUUAUAAUUAAUAAUCUUUUUUCCCCCCCAAAACUUAUGAUAUUUCAUGCAGAUAUUAUUAUUUAACUCAUAUCUAUUAAAUCAAAAUUUACAUUUUUAAAAUAAAUUAUAAUUAAAUAUAGCCAGUGGUGCAUAAAUAAUCUGGUGCACCAGGUGCAAGCAAUAGUUUCUCAAAAGGUGCCCUAUUUUGAGAGAUAGGCUGCACGCUACUCGCUUCGCUUAUUUCAUUUAGAAAUAAACUUAGCUGAAAAUGUGAAUCAACUAGGAUUCGAACUUGGGUCUCGGGCACCAACCACUAAGCCCUUUGCCACUUGCUCUAGGGACGGUCGGUCUGUAAGGUGCCCUAUUUUGCCUAUGGAUUUCCGUUGCUUACAAUUUGCAAGGUGUAAAUCUUACCCUUCCUUAGUUUAAAAUUUUUAAAAUUAUUCUCAAUUUUAUGUAAUAAAUUUUUUUUUGAUAAAAUUUAUAUAUAUAUAUAUAUAUAGAAUUAGGCUGGAAUACUAUUAAUAGUAAAACGCUUUUUUUGCUAUCAAGUUUUUAACCUUUAGAUGAAAAAUUGUAGGGUCAGGAUGAUAUUAGUCGGUUAGAGUUGAAUGGUCCCCCUAGGGUUGAGUGGUUCCUACAGUGUUAUAGUAUUUAAUCCAAUGAUUAGAAAUGAUGAAAAGAGUUGAUCCAAAGGCUAAAAAACUGGUAACAAUAAUAGGAUUUUGCUACUAAUAGUAGUCCAGUCCAACUCUAUAUAUUUCAGAAGCAUUUACUAAUGUUGUUAGUUAUAAUAUGUUUAGUCUUGCUGCGAAGUGUAGCAUUGCCAUAAAUCCAAGGGUUGCUACUACUACUAAGCAUCUAUUUCGAUACUUCAAAUUCUACAAGAGUAGUAAUUAUAAGAUUAUUGGCCCUAACUUUUAAUUACAAAAACCGACUGUCCCUAGAGCAAGUGGCAAAGGGCUUGGUGGUUGGUAUCCGAGGUCCUAAGUUUGAAUCCUAGUUGAUUCACAUUUCCAGCUAAGUUUAUUUCUAAAUGAAAUAAACGAAGCGGGUAGCGUGUUACCUAUCUCUCUAAAAAAAAAAAAAAAACUUUUAGUUACAAAAGUUUGAGCUCUUAGAAUUAUAUAACUAAUUCACUUAAAAUGAAUAAACACAGCGUGGUCUUGAUUACGACUUGUUCUAAUCCGGCCUCCCGCCAUUUUGAACGUAACUCAGCGCAAUCCAGCUUCCCGCCAAUAUGUUAUUCA
rnacentral:lncRNA from 1 species